rnacentral:rRNA from 1 species
AUGGCCCAAGAAAGUAACUACCAUGGAAAAAGGGUGCGAUCUCUGGCCUCUAAACCUAGCGCCACAAUGCCACACCGAUGCUCUCUACCAAGAUCCUACUCCUCCUCACCCCAGACUCGCUGUAGCAGGUCCACCCCCCUCGCCCGUCGGCCGCCAACAGUAGGCUCGGGGACCCAGGCCUCCAGGCGGUGGCCCAGCCCCACUCCGGCGGCCUCGACCUGUAGCUCCGGCACACGAUGCACUCCGGCUGAAAGGGAAGAUGACGGGUGGCGGAGUGGGCAACGGAACUGGACAUCGCCACCUCCUCCUAGUGAGAUCGUACCGAGAUACGACCUGACAGGAAGGUAG